rnacentral:rRNA from 1 species
AUGUGGGAGGCAGUCCAGGACAGCAACGUCGACCACCUAGAGGAUCGACGGGCGCUGGACGCCCUCAUCGCCGCAGUCCCGCCCGAGAUGCAGUUCUCGCUUUCCAACAAGCGGACUGCCAAGGAGGCUUGGGACGCCAUCGCCGCAGCACGCAUCGGCAGCGACCGUGCUCGCAAGUCCACCCUGCAGGCACUUCGUAAGGAGUGGGAGAACCUAGGCUUCAAGCCAGGUGAGGACGUUGAUGACUUUGCUCUCCGUCUCAACACUCUGCUGCAGAAGAUGGUGAAGUUUGGCGAUGCCACCUACACCGAGGAGAGAGCUGUCGAGAAGCUUUUUCGGUGCAUUCCCGAGAAGUACAAGCAGAUGGCUCGCUCGAUCGAGUCGUUGCUGGACCUCUCCACGAUGACGAUCGAGGAGGCGAUAGGCCGUCUCAAGGUCGUCGACACCGACGAGCCACAGCCCCCCUCGGGGCCCGUCACCACCGGCGGGAAGCUGCUCCUAACUCGGGAGCAGUGGGAUCCCAGCCUUGGUGACAGGAGGAAGGGGGAGCCUUCCUCCUCGACGGGAGGCUGCAAGCGUGGCAAGCAGCGUAAGGCGCGAAGAGGCCCCCCGGGCAGGGCACAAGGACGUGCCGAAGGUGACGCCCGCGGAGGCGCCAAGGACGGCGCCGCUGGCAAGCCCAAGCCGGCACAAGACAACAGUUGCCACAACUGUGGCCGGUUUGGCCAUUGGGCCAAUGAGUGUCGGCAACCACGACAAGGCCAAGCUCACGUCGCACAUGCAAAGGAGGAGGAGACGGCUCUGUUCAUGGCGCAUGCAAGCAUUGAGCUACCCUCGGCGACUCCAGUCGCAAAGGCUUUCAUCCACCUCGAUGAGCCAAAAGCACACGCUCUUCUCGGCGAUGCCUCCGGGAAGGACAAGGCUACGGGGUGGUGCCUCGACACCGGCGCCACCCACCACAUGACCGGUCGAAGGGAAUUCUUCGCUGAGCUCGACUCCGAUGCGCGAGGCUCCGUCAAGUUCGGGGAUGCCUCCGGUGUGGAGAUAAAGGGCGUCGGCUCCGUCAUCUUCACCACCAAGAUGGGAGAGCACCGGCUGCUCACCGGUGUCUACUACAUCCCCGCGCUAAGAAAUUCCAUCAUCAGCUUGGGACAGCUGGAUGAGAACGGCUCACGCGUGCUGAUUGAGCAUGGGGUCCUACGCAUCUGGGAUCGCCAGCGUCGCCUUCUCGCCAAGGUGCCCAGAGGUGAAAAUUGA